rnacentral:rRNA from 1 species
AUACGGAGGAUCCGAGCGUUAUCCGGAUUUAUUGGGUUUAAAGGGAGCGUAGGUGGAUUGUUAAGUCAGUUGUGAAAGUUUGCGGCUCAACCGUAAAAUUGCAGUUGAAACUGGCAGUCUUGAGUACAGUAGAGGUGGGCGGAAUUCGAGGUGUAGCGGUGAAAUGCUUAGAUAUCACGAAGAACUCCGAUUGCGAAGGCAGCUCACUAGACUGUUACUGACACUGAUGCUCGAAAGUGUGGGUAUCAAACAGGAUUAGAUACCCUGGUAGUCCACACGGUAAACGAUGAAUACUCGCUGUUUGCGAUAUACAGUAAGCGGCCAAGCGAAAGCAUUAAGUAUUCCACCUGGGGAGUACGCCGGCAACGGUGAAACUCAAAGGAAUUGACGGGG